UUUUAUUCAAUUUAUUUUAUAAAAAGCGUGGUUCUCGUCCGAUCACCGAAGUUAAGCAACGUCGAGCCCGGUUAGUACUUGGAUGGGUGACCGCCUGGGAAUACCGGGUUCUGUAGGCU
rnacentral:rRNA from 1 species